UUAAGCGACCAAGCGUACACGGUGGAUGCCCUGGCAGUCAGAGGCGAUGAAGGACGUGCUAAUCUGCGAUAAGCGCCGGUAAGGUGAUAUGAACCGUUAUAACCGGCGAUUUCCGAAUGGGGAAACCCAGUGUGAUUUGUCACACUAUCAUUAACUGAAUCCAUAGGUUAAUGAGGCGAACCGGGGGAACUGAAACAUCUAAGUACCCCGAGGAAAAGAAAUCAACCGAGAUUCCCCCAGUAGCGGCGAGCGAACGGGGAGGAGCCCAGAGCCUGAAUCAGCAUGUGUGUUAGUGGAAGCGUCUGGAAAGGCGCGCGAUACAGGGUGACAGCCCCGUACACAAAAGCGCAUAUGCUGUGAGCUCGAUGAGUAGGGCGGGACACGUGGUAUCCUGUCUGAAUAUGGGGGGACCAUCCUCCAAGGCUAAAUACUCCUGACUGACCGAUAGUGAACCAGUACCGUGAGGGAAAGGCGAAAAGAACCCCGGCGAGGGGAGUGAAACAGAACCUGAAACCGUGUACGUACAAGCAGUGGGAGCACAGGUUUACCUGUGUGACUGCGUACCUUUUGUAUAAUGGGUCAGCGACUUAUAUUCUGUAGCAAGGUUAACCGCAUAGGGGAGCCGAAGGGAAACCGAGUCUUAAUUGGGCGUUAAGUUGCAGGGUAUAGACCCGAAACCCGGUGAUCUAGCCAUGGGCAGGUUGAAGGUUGGGUAACACUAACUGGAGGACCGAACCGACUAAUGUUGAAAAAUUAGCGGAUGACCUGUGGCUGGGGGUGAAAGGCCAAUCAAACCGGGAGAUAGCUGGUUCUCCCCGAAAGCUAUUUAGGUAGCGCCUCGUGAACUCAUCUCCGGGGGUAGAGCACUGUUUCGGCUAGGGGGCCAUCCCGGCUUACCAACCCGAUGCAAACUGCGAAUACCGGAGAAUGUUAUCACGGGAGACACACGGCGGGUGCUAACGUCCGUCGUGAAGAGGGAAACAACCCAGACCGCCAGCUAAGGUCCCAAAGUCAUGGUUAAGUGGGAAACGAUGUGGGAAGGCCCAGACAGCCAGGAUGUUGGCUUAGAAGCAGCCAUCAUUUAAAGAAAGCGUAAUAGCUCACUGGUCGAGUCGGCCUGCGCGGAAGAUGUAACGGGGCUAAACCAUGCACCGAAGCUGCGGCAGCGAACGUAUCACUUAAAACGAUUCAGAAGCUUACGAUUGACGGAGCGAAGCGACGUCAAAGCGUAUACAAAGUCGAGUCGGUUUAAGGAUACGUUCGUUGGGUAGGGGAGCGUUCUGUAAGCCUGUGAAGGUGGCCUGUGAGGGUUGCUGGAGGUAUCAGAAGUGCGAAUGCUGACAUAAGUAACGAUAAAGCGGGUGAAAAGCCCGCUCGCCGGAAGACCAAGGGUUCCUGUCCAACGUUAAUCGGGGCAGGGUGAGUCGACCCCUAAGGCGAGGCCGAAAGGCGUAGUCGAUGGGAAACGGGUUAAUAUUCCCGUACUUGGUGUUACUGCGAAGGGGGGACGGAGAAGGCUAUGUUGGCCGGGCGACGGUUGUCCCGGUUUAAGCGUGUAGGUGUGUGUUCCAGGUAAAUCCGGUUCACUUUAACACUGAGGCGUGACGACGAGGCACCACGGUGCUGAAGCAACAAAUGCCCUGCUUCCAGGAAAAGCCUCUAAGCAUCAGGUAACAUCAAAUCGUACCCCAAACCGACACAGGUGGUCAGGUAGAGAAUACCAAGGCGCUUGAGAGAACUCGGGUGAAGGAACUAGGCAAAAUGGUGCCGUAACUUCGGGAGAAGGCACGCUGACACGUAGGUGAAGUGGUUUACCCAUGGAGCUGAAGUCAGUCGAAGAUACCAGCUGGCUGCAACUGUUUAUUAAAAACACAGCACUGUGCAAACACGAAAGUGGACGUAUACGGUGUGACGCCUGCCCGGUGCCGGAAGGUUAAUUGAUGGGGUCAGCGCAAGCGAAGCUCCUGAUCGAAGCCCCGGUAAACGGCGGCCGUAACUAUAACGGUCCUAAGGUAGCGAAAUUCCUUGUCGGGUAAGUUCCGACCUGCACGAAUGGCGUAAUGAUGGCCAGGCUGUCUCCACCCGAGACUCAGUGAAAUUGAACUCGCUGUGAAGAUGCAGUGUACCCGCGGCAAGACGGAAAGACCCCGUGAACCUUUACUAUAGCUUGACACUGAACAUUGAGCCUUGAUGUGUAGGAUAGGUGGGAGGCUUUGAAGCGUGGACGCCAGUCUGCGUGGAGCCGGCCUUGAAAUACCACCCUUUAAUGUUUGAUGUUCUAACGUGGACCCGUUACCCGGGUUGCGGACAGUGUCUGGUGGGUAGUUUGACUGGGGCGGUCUCCUCCUAAAGAGUAACGGAGGAGCACGAAGGUUGGCUAAUCCUGGUCGGACAUCAGGAGGUUAGUGCAAUGGCAUAAGCCAGCUUGACUGCGAGCGUGACGGCGCGAGCAGGUGCGAAAGCAGGUCAUAGUGAUCCGGUGGUUCUGAAUGGAAGGGCCAUCGCUCAACGGAUAAAAGGUACUCCGGGGAUAACAGGCUGAUACCGCCCAAGAGUUCAUAUCGACGGCGGUGUUUGGCACCUCGAUGUCGGCUCAUCACAUCCUGGGGCUGAAGUAGGUCCCAAGGGUAUGGCUGUUCGCCAUUUAAAGUGGUACGCGAGCUGGGUUUAGAACGUCGUGAGACAGUUCGGUCCCUAUCUGCCGUGGGCGCUGGAGAACUGAGGGGGGCUGCUCCUAGUACGAGAGGACCGGAGUGGACGCAUCACUGGUGUUCGGGUUGUCAUGCCAAUGGCACUGCCCGGUAGCUAAAUGCGGAAGAGAUAAGUGCUGAAAGCAUCUAAGCACGAAACUUGCCCCGAGAUGAGUUCUCCCUGAGACUUUAAGUCUCCUGAAGGAACGUUGAAGACGACGACGUUGAUAGGCCGGGUGUGUAAGCGCAGCGAUGCGUUGAGCUAACCGGUACUAAUGAACCGUGAGGCUUAACCUU
rnacentral:rRNA from 1 species